UACGGAGGGGGCUAGCGUUGUUCGGAAUUACUGGGCGUAAAGCGCACGUAGGCGGAUUUGUAAGUCAGGGGUGAAAUCCUGGAGCUCAACUCCAGAACUGCCUUUGAUACUGAGGAUCUUGAGUUCGGGAGAGGUGAGUGGAACUGCGAGUGUAGAGGUGAAAUUCGUAGAUAUUCGCAAGAACACCAGUGGCGAAGGCGGCUCACUGGCCCGAUACUGACGCUGAGGCACGAAAGCGUGGGGAGCAAACAGG
rnacentral:rRNA from 1 species